GAUGAACGCUGGCGGCGUGCCUAAUACAUGCAAGUCGAGCGAACAGACGAGGAGCUUGCUCCUCUGACGUUAGCGGCGGACGGGUGAGUAACACGUGGAUAACCUACCUAUAAGACUGGGAUAACUUCGGGAAACCGGAGCUAAUACCGGAUAAUAUAUUGAACCGCAUGGUUCAAUAGUGAAAGACGGUCUUGCUGUCACUUAUAGAUGGAUCCGCGCCGCAUUAGCUAGUUGGUAAGGUAACGGCUUACCAAGGCAACGAUGCGUAGCCGACCUGAGAGGGUGAUCGGCCACACUGGAGCUGAGACACGGUCCAGACUCCUACGGGAGGCAGCAGUAGGGAAUCUUCCGCAAUGGGCGAAAGCCUGACGGAGCAACGCCGCGUGAGUGAUGAAGGUCUUCGGAUCGUAAAACUCUGUUAUUAGGGAAGAACAAAUGUGUAAGUAACUAUGCACGUCUUGACGGUACCUAAUCAGAAAGCCACGGCUAACUACGUG
rnacentral:rRNA from 1 species